AGAGUUUGAUCAUGGCUCAGAAUCAACGCUGGCGGCGCGCUUAACACAUGCAAGUCGCACGAGAAAGCAGUAGCAAUACUGUGAGUAAAGUGGCGUACGGGUGAGUAACACGUGGAUCAUCUACCUUCUAGUGGGGAAUACCUCCGGGAAACUGGAGACAAUACCGCAUAAGCUCGUAAGAGGAAAGCAGCAAUGCGCUGGAAGAGGAGUCCGCGGCUGAUUAGCUAGCUGGCGGGGUAACGGCCCACCAAGGCGAAGAUCGGUAGCCGGCCUGAGAGGGCACACGGCCACACUGGCACUGAAACACGGGCCAGACUCCUACGGGAGGCAGCAGUGGGGAAUCUUGCACAAUGGAGGAAACUCUGAUGCAGCGACGCCGCGUGAGCGAUGAAGCCCUUCGGGGUGUAAAGCUCUUUCGACGGGAACGAUAAUGACGGUACCCGAAGAAGAGGCUGCGGCUAACUACGUGCCAGCAGCCGCGGUAAUACGUAGGCAGCAAGCGUUGUUCGGAAUUACUGGGCGUAAAGAGUGUGUAGGCGGUGUUCUAAGUUUGUCGUGAAAUCUCCCGGCUUAACUGGGAGGGUGCGGCGAAAACUGGAAUGCUAGAGGAUGGGAGAGGUAAGCGGAAUUCCUGGUGUAGCGGUGAAAUGCGUAGAUAUCAGGAGGAACACCUGUGGUGUAGACAGCUUACUGGACCAUUUCUGACGCUGAGACACGAAAGCGUGGGUAGCAAACAGGAUUAGAUACCCUAGUAGUCC
rnacentral:rRNA from 1 species